UUCUGAGAUCUGGGAAAGCUAUUAAUCACAUGAUCGCGAACCCAGUGUGACAGAAAGAAUUAAUAAUCUGCAAAAACUAGCCUUCCUAGUGGGACUCCUCGGUGGCCUCCCGUUAAUAACAAGCAGGAGCUAACAUUUGAUGAGUGUUUCCCACCCUCCCUUAGCACACCACAGGGCCCGAUUUCAUCCCUAUCUCACGCACCUCUGUGAUAGAAGAAGGACAUCGCACGCUUCUAGUGAUGAAUAAGGCAUGAAGUCUACAGGGGCAGUCAUCUGUCAUCAGAACAACUAUAAGGAUGUUUUCAGAAGGGGAAAGAUAUACACAAGGAAAAAUACAAGAAGAACUGUGCCCAACAGACUGAAAUAUGCACUAAAAGUUGAAGAUCAAAAUUUACCGUAUUGAAAUACUCCAUCCCAGAGCUGCUGAAGGCUUCUGCGAUUUCUGUGGUUGUUACCACACAUGCCAUGGGGUGGCCAUUGCCCAUUGGCUUCCCCAUCGUGACAAUGUCCGGAACAAAGUCUUCACCAUGCAUCUGGAAGCUCCAGAAAUGUUUCCCAACUCGGCCAAAGCCCACCUGAACUUCAUCAGCUAUGAACACACCCCCUGCUCCACGCACAUAUCUGAAAAGCAACAGCACAGUUUAUUGCCUUCACCACUCUGAGCAUCCCCAAACCCACCCACCAGCACACAGAUGAUUGAGAACUUUAAAAAAUGUUGUGAACCUGGAGUCUAUAAUCUUUGUUAAAAUAUUUCAGUACUCAUACCCUACUCCCAAGACAUCUAUGUGAUUGAAAUAUAAUCACAGAAUAUUCCAGUUAGAUAUAUUCUACAUCAUUUGGGUUUGUUCUCUUUAAGCAAUGCUGUAUUAUUUUAAGUAGGAAAAGAAUGAAGUGAACAAGAAGUAGUUUUUCAGCCAGGUUAAUCUCCAAAUUUUUACUAAUCCGAAAAGCUUGGACACCAGUCAAUCAGAGAGGCUGAGGUUGAAGGGGGUUAGUGGCUGCUACAGAGUCCUGCAGGCAGGCCCCCCACUACUGGACCAGGUAUUAACCCUUUAUUUGCUGGACCUUUGGAAGGUGGAGGAGUUCCAGGAGUCCUGGGAUGGUGGGCACUCCAAAGUGGCUAUUUACCAGCCAGCCUGAAAGCACGUCAAUAUUAUAACAACCAGUACGGUCCUACAGAGUUGCCAUGGUGCCCUCAGUUUCACCAAGGAUGCCCAAGUCCAGUACAUACUCUGCCACUUUCUGGAAGUAGCCUGCUGGAGGAAUUACUUGUCCGCCACAACUCUGCAUGGAUUCGGCAAUAAAAGCAGCAAUCUAUACAAGAGAAGAUGGAGUCAAAGUCCAUUAGGACCCUCUCAUACCUCCAAAUAAAGAGGACUUCCUAUAGAGCAGGUUAUUUUAGAAGUGGAAUAGACUGGUGGCCACCAGAUUAGAUAAAGAAAAGAUGUCUAUGCUGAAAAAGCAGCUGGGAUGAGCAUCAGUUUCUGAAAUUUUUGGUAAUUACUAUGAGAAACAGAGAAGAUGUGUUCCAGCUCAUUAAUUUAAAUGCAGUGUUAUCACAGCAUCCACUAAGAUUGAUGUUUUGAUCAGUCUCUGAUAUGAGCUUCUAAAAAAUUAUGCAGGUUUCAAAUGCAUCACUUUAGGGCUGAUUUCUCUGGUCUGGUGAAACAUGGCUGCCUGAAGUUGGGAUCCACACUUACGAAAUGGGAAGGAACACACUUGGGUUACUGUGCUGUAUUUCUAGUUCUGGCCCUGAACCAGGCUGAACUCAGCAGAAUUAGUCAAUUCACAAUAGGAACAGAGGAACUGUUUCAGAGGUGGAAAAACAACAGGUAGAAAAUAACACUCAAGAAUGAAUAGAAAGCACAGACUAUGAGGUAAUAAGAGAAUCAAGGUUCCAGUCCAGACUUAAUGACUGUAUUCCCUCAGCUUAGGUUAUGUUAAAAUAUCUUACUUAAUAGCUGUAAAAUGAGGUCAGUAGUUCAAAAGAUUUCUGCUGUAAAAUUAUGAAGCAUCCAUAAUCAUAUGGAUGUGCUCACUAACUAUUGCAUGCUAUUUUUCCCAAGAACUAUUCAAACCUGUUAGUAGUAGAAAGACCAUAGGAUCUCAGUAAUGUCAAGUUUUUCCUGGAAACAGUUUGUGUAGAGAGGUAUAGACUACCUUUGAAGAGGAAAAGAGCGUGAAGCUCAAACAGUAAGUAAAGCACUAGAUCUCCCCACACAAUUAUCUCAUUGAAGACAUGAAAAAUCAAAGGAUGGGAAGAAAAAGAAAUAAAAAACAGUUAAGAAAAACAACUGAUUCUUCAGUCAUGAAGAUAAAAAUAUCUGAAUUGAAAAAAGCACCGGCUUCAUUUUUAUCUCAGUUAAGAUUGUUUUUCAUUGUUAUAUGUACGGACAUAAGCCAGCUGGAAGGAAAAGCAGGGGUCAAACUGCACUAUAGCCGUACACAAGGAACCCCCAUGUGUGCUGAGAACUUAGUGUGAACCUGAAGACAGCAGGAACAAGACUGAGGAAGUGAAAACUUUCUUCCUAUGCUGGAGGAUUCUGGAUCUGCCUUAGAAAUCCAGGUCCAGAUGGGAAGGACAUCUUUCUGCCUUGACUUACUCAGGUCAGGCUAUCUCUGGGGGGUUCUGUGACUGCAUGAAAGUUUAAGGGAGACACCAUGGCUCCCUGGUGGGCCUCGGAAUCUGCAGUGGUACGAAGGCAUCAGAGCGACUUUGCGUCUUCCUUUCAUUCACCGUAUAUUAGUCCCUCCCAGCUACUCUCGGCUGGAAGUCUGUUCCUGGACUUUCACCUUUCUUAAUCUUCUCUGCUUGACCCCUUUGGAUCAGAGUCUGCGUCCCACUGGGAAGGUCAGAAUUAGGCCACCAGUUCUGGAAGGAAGAUUGUAAUUGCAUUUCCAGGAUAAAUAAAAAUAGUUUUAUAUAAUUGAUAGUUAUAAAUAAUGCACUUUUGAAAUAUGAACAAGGUGGAAAGUAACCACAGAAGAACAGAAAGGGGAGUUAGAUGGAAUAAUUUUCUACCUCUCCAAUGGUAGAAAACACUUUUUACAAAAGCUGCUAAAAUGUUUACAAACCUUCCUUCCACGGUUUUGAGCUUCUUCAAUAAUUUUCUUCACUUCAUCUGCAUAAGCACUGGCUGGGUCUUCAUGGUCUUCUUUAUAUUUUCCUCUGUAUGUAUCUGGAGUUGGUGCCUGAAACCAUCAAAUGACAGUUUCUUAGGGUUUGCCUCCUUGAUGAAAGAACUUUUAUAAAAGGGCAUUUGCUCACAAGAGCAUAUUAGAAAGGUGAUCACAUGGAUUUAAGCAACUCUAGUUUCUUUUGUUUUUUGUGCUUAGUGUUUCUGAAUUCUGUGAUUACUAAAAUCUUCACACUGUGAACAGGAACUUGGAUUUGCUCCCAGAGUCUUGCAAAUCAACACUGCAUCUCCAUUCACAGAAGGAGAAAUUCAGAUCAACAAGUGUGAUUUUAUUAUUUGAAAAUUUCAAUGCAAGAAAACUAUAUUAAUGAUUCUAUAUGAAAAAUAAAAACAACAAUUAUCAACUAUGUUGCAAA